rnacentral:tRNA from 1 species
GGCAAGAUGACCGAAUAACAGGUGUUAAAUUGUAAAUUUAAAUAUGAAGAGUUUCUUCUCUUGCCA